GACGAACGCUGGCGGCGUGCUUAACACAUGCAAGUCGAACGGAAAGGCCCUGCUUUUGUGGGGUGCUCGAGUGGCGAACGGGUGAGUAACACGUGAGUAACCUGCCCUUGACUUUGGGAUAACUUCAGGAAACUGGGGCUAAUACCGGAUAGGAGCUCCUGCUGCAUGGUGGGGGUUGGAAAGUUUCGGCGGUUGGGGAUGGACUCGCGGCUUAUCAGCUUGUUGGUGGGGUAGUGGCUUACCAAGGCUUUGACGGGUAGCCGGCCUGAGAGGGUGACCGGCCACAUUGGGACUGAGAUACGGCCCAGACUCCUACGGGAGGCAGCAGUGGGGAAGAGUGCACAAUGGGCGGAAGCCUGAUGCAGCAACGCCGCGUGCGGGAUGACGGCCUUCGGGUUGGAAACCGCUUUCGCCUGUGACGAAGCGUGAGUGACGGUAAUGGGUAAAGAAGCACCGGCUAACUACGUG
rnacentral:rRNA from 1 species